CGGGGGGUGCUAACGUUAUCCGGAUUUAUUGGGCGUAAAGCGCAUGUAGGUGGUUUAGUAAGUCAGCGAUUAAAGACCAACGCUUAACGUUGGGACUGUUACUGAUACUGUUAAACUUGAGGAAAACAGGGGCAAGCGGAACUUUCGGUGUAGGAGUGAAAUCCGUAGAUAUCGAAAGGAACACCAAUGGCGAAGGCAGCUUGCUGGGUUUUACCUGACACUGAGAUGCGAAAGCGUGGGGAGCAAACGGGAUUAGAUACCCCGGUAGUCCACGCUGUAAAUGUUGCUCACUAGGUCUUGGGAGGUAUCGACCCCUCUUUGGACCGAAGCUAACGCGUUAAGUGAGCCGCCUGGGGAGUACGAACGCAAGUUU
rnacentral:rRNA from 1 species